rnacentral:rRNA from 1 species
UUACCCAAUCCUGACACAGGGAGGUAGUGACAAGAAAUAACAAAGCAAGCCGGUAUUCUGGUUUUGCUAUUGGAAUGAGUAGAAUUUAAAUCUCUUUACGACUAUCAAUUGGAGGGCAAGUCUGGUGCCAGCAGCCGCGGUAAUUCCAGCUCCAAUAGCGUAUAUUAAAGUUGUUGCGGUUAAAAAGCUCGUAGUUGGAUUUCUGUCGAAAACAACCGGUCCGCUCUAUGAGCGUGUAUCUGGUCUGGUUUUGGCAUCCUCGUGGGGAACAGCUCUGUGCUUGAUUGCAUGGACUGGUAUUCACGACUUUUACUUUGAGGAAAUUAGAGUGUUCACGGCAGGCAAGCGCCUUGAAUACAUUAGCAUGGAAUAAUAAUAUAGGACUUUGGUUUUAUUUUGUUGGUUUCUAGAACUAAAGUAAUGAUUAAUAGGGAUAAUUGGGGGCAUUUGUAUUAACGCGUCAGAGGUGGAAUUCUUGGAUUGCGUUACGACAAACUACUGCGAAAGCAUUUGCCAAGGAUGUUUUCAUUGAUCAAGAACGAAAGUAUGGGGAUCGAAGAUGAUUAGAUACCGUCGUAGUCUAUACCAUAAACUAUGCCGACUAGAGAUUGGAGGUCGUCCUUAUAUUGACUCCUUCAGCACCUUAUGAGAAAUCAAAGUCUUUGGGUUCCGGGGGGAGUAUGGUCGCAAGGCUGAAACUUAAAGGAAUUGACGGAAGGGCACCACCAGG